rnacentral:rRNA from 1 species
UGAGUGCGAGCUGCUACGGCAGCGAAGUUGGUGACGUCAAGCUUCCAAGAAAAGCCCUAUACCCGUUAAGGCAUCAUGGCCUGUACCCGAAACCGACACAGGUGGGGUGGUAGAGAAUACCGAGGGGCGCGAGUUAACUCUCUCUAAGGAACUCGGCAAAAUGGCCCCGUAACUUCGGGAGAAGGGGUGCCACCGCAAGGUGGUCGCAGUGAAGAGGCCCAGGCGACUGUUUACCAAAAACACAGGUCUCCGCUAAGUCGCAAGACGAUGUAUGGGGGCUGACGCCUGCCCAGUGCCGGAAGGUUAAGGAAGCUGGUCAGCGCAAGCGAAGCUGGCGACUGGAGCCCCGGUGAACGGCGGCCGUAACAAUAACGGUCCUAAGGUAGCGAAAUUCCUUGUCGGGUAAGUUCCGACCCGCACGAAAGGCGUAACGAUCUGGGCGCUGUCUCGGAGAGAGGCUCGGCGAAAUAGAAUUGUCUGUGAAGAUGCGGACUACGUGCACCCGGACAGAAAGACCCUAUGAAGCUUUACUGUAGCUUGGUAUUGUGCCCGGGCUCUGAAUGCGCAGGAUAGGUGGGAGGCUUUGAUCAUCGGCUUGCGGGUCGAUGUGAGCCAACGGUGAGAUACCACUCUUUCAGAGCUAGGGUUCUAACAGUCACCCGUUAUCCGGGGACUGGACAGUAUCAGGUGGGCAGUUUGACUGAGGCGGUCGCCUCCUAAAAGGUAACGGAGGCGCGCAAAGGUCUGCUCAGGCUGGUUGGAAAUCAGCCGACGAGUGUAAAAGCAGAAGCAGGCUUGACUGUGAGACCUACAAGUCGAACAGGGAGGAAACUCGGCUUUAGUGAUCCGACGGUUCUGCGUGGAAGGGCCGUCGCUCAACGGAUAAAAGUUACUCUAAGGAUAACAGGCUGAUCUCCCCCAAGGGUUCACAUCGACGGGGAGGUUUGGCACCUCGAUGUCGGCUCAUCGCAACCUGGGGCUGAAGUCGGUCCCAAGGGUUGGGCUGUUCGCCCAUUAAAGCGGUACGCGAGCUGGGUUCAGAACGUCGUGAGACAGUUCGGUCCAUAUCCGGUGCAUGCGCAGGAAUAUUGAGAGGAGUUCUCCCUAGUACGAGAGGACCGGGAGGAACGCACCUCUGGUGUACCAGUUAUCGUGCCAACGGUAAACGCUGGGUAGCCAUGUGCGGAGAGGAUAACCGCUGAAAGCAUCUAAGUGGGAAGCCCACCUCAAGAUGAGUAUUCCCAUGGCGUUAGCCAGUAGGUCACGGGAAGAACACCCGUUGAUAGGCUCUAUGUGGAAGCGCAGUAAUGCGUGAAGCAGAGGAGUACUAAUAGACCGAGGGCUUGACC